rnacentral:rRNA from 1 species
GAUGAACGCUGGCGGCGUGCUUAACACAUGCAAGUCGAACGGAAAGGCCCUGCUUUGGUGGUGUGCUGGUGGGGCGAACGGGUGAGUAACACGGGAGUAACCUGACCUAGACUUUGGGGUAAACUCAGGAAACUGGGGCUAAUACCGGAUAAGAGCUCCUGAUCCAUUGGGUGGGUUGGAAAGUUUGGGCGGUCUGAGAUGGACUCGCGGCUUAUCAGCUUGUUAGUUGGGUAGUGGCGUACCAAGGCAUAGACGGAUAGCCGGCACGAGAGGGUGAACGGGGACAUUGGGCCUGAGAUACGGAGCAGUCGCCUACGGGAGGCAGCAGGGGGGAAUCUUGCACAGCGGGCGGACGCGUGUUGCAGCAACGCUGCGUGCGUGAUGACGGCCUUCGGGUUGUAAACAGCUUUGGCAUGAGACGAAGCGUGCGUGACGGUAACGGGUAAAGAAGCAACGGCUAACUACGUG